rnacentral:rRNA from 1 species
UCUGCUCAUGAUUUGUUAAAUAGCCGCAGUACCCUGCCUGUGCAAAGGUAGCAUAAUCAAUUGGCUCAUAAUUGGAGUCUAGAAUGAAGGAAAAAUAAGAAAUAACUGUUUCUAAGUAAUUAUUAGAAAUUAAUUAUAAAGUGCAAAUGCUUUUAAAUAAAAAUUAGACGAGAAGACCCUAGAAAUUUUUUGUUGGGUUUAUGAGCAUUUUGUUGGGGCGACAAAGUAACAGGUUAAUAACUUACUUAUUUUAUUUGGAGUAAUUGUACAGAAGAAAAAAAAUUACUCUAGGGAUAACAGCAUAAUUUUAAUAAGUUUGUGACCUCGGAUGUUGGACUAGGAAAAGUAUAAAGUUUAAAAGAUAUAUAUUUCAGCUCUGUUCGAGCCGUGAUCCUACGUGAUCUGAGUUCACAACCGGA